GUCCCGUCAGCCGUCUCCGUUUGGGCCCCGCCCGCCAAACCCGCCAGCUCCGGGUCAGCGCUCUCUGCACCGAGCAGCAACCCGGCGGCUCAGCGCGGGCGAAAUCUACGAUUUUCAAAACUGAGCGCUCAGCCAAUUCUCGGCAAGUUUGUGUGGGCGGUUGCAAACCUCGAAGCCUAUCAGGUGGCGGGAAAGACUAUGGUGGACCUUCAUUGGCUGCUCACAUCAUCAAUUUGCGGGACUAAGGGCGGGAAAAGGAAGCGCAGACGUUUUAACCCUCCUCGGCUUCCGGAGCGGGAAGAAGUCCCCGGCCGGGCAGGCGCGUGAUGCCGGAACUACACGUCCCGGCGUGCACUGCGCGAGAGGGCGAAGCUGGGUCCCAGGCGACGGCUUUGCAAUCUCUUCCUCUUUGGAGAAACGCGGAGAAAAUGCCUGGCGCUUGGCCAGCAGCUUGACAUAGCCUCUCUGUUGGCCUGGAAGAUGCAUCUGGUUAGACUCAACAUGCGCAGUAUGCAUCUUGCUGUGUUAUGCUGUGUGAAUCUCGUGUUCCUCGGAAACUUCCACACUCAAGACAAUUUCCUGCAAGACCACGGAGGAUCAGGACAUCUCUGUCAGGCCUGAUCUACGCGAGUCCUUCACAAACAAACGGACAAAGCAAUAAGCAAACAGGCUGCUUUCAGCAAACAGCGGCAGCUGCCCGGCAAACAGAACAAAUGGACUCAAAGCGAAGUAUAAACCCCCGGCUGCGGAGAAGUCCAGUGAUUGUCUACCCAGAGGAGCAGACCGCCCUUGGAUUCAAUCAUAAAUAUCUCACAAUGGGUCUACAUAAGCCCCAUUCCUUUCCCAGAUGGCAGCCACAUGCUCUGGAGCUGGUCACUUCAGGGAUGCCUUGA
rnacentral:lncRNA from 1 species